rnacentral:rRNA from 1 species
ACGAGGGUCCUUCGGGACUCGAGUGGCGAACGGGUGAGUAACACGUAGGGAACCUGCCCGUGCGACCGGGAGAACUUUCGGAAACGGAAGCUGAUACCGGAUAGGGACAGAGACGGCAUCGACUCUGUGUUAAAGGAGCUGCAAGGCUCCGCGCACGGAUGGACCUGCGGUGCAUUAGCUAGUUGGUGAGGUAACGGCCCACCAAGGCGACGAUGCAUAGCCGGCCUGAGAGGGCGGACGGCCACACUGGGACUGAGACACGGCCCAGACUCCUACGGGAGGCAGCAGUAGGGAAUUUUCGUCAAUGGGCGCAAGCCUGAACGAGCAAUGCCGCGUGAACGAGGAAGGUCUUCGGAUCGUAAAGUUCUGUUGAAGGGGAAAAAGAGCGGAGAGAGGAAAUGAACUCCGAUUGAUAUUACCCUUCGAGGAAGUCACGGCUAACUACGUGCCAGCAGCCGCGGUAAUACGUAGGUGGCGAGCGUUAUCCGGAAUGAUUGGGCGUAAAGGGUGCGUAGGCGGCCUGCUAAGUCUGGAGUGAAAGGUACCGGCUCAACCGGUAUAGGCUCUGGAAACUGGCGAGCUAGAGAGCAGGAGAGGGCGGUGGAACUCCAUGUGUAGCGGUAAAAUGCGUAGAUAUAUGGAAGAACACCAGUGGCGAAGGCGGCCGCCUGGCCUGUUACUGACGCUGAGGCACGAAAGCGUGGGGAGCAAAUAGGAUUAGAUACCCUAGUAGUCCACGCCGUANACGAUGAGGACCAAGUGUUGGGGAAGACCCAGUNCUGCAGUUAACGCAGUGAGUCCUCCGCCUGGGGAGUAUGCACGCAAGUGUGAAACUCAAAGGAAUUGACGGGGGCC